AGAGUUUGAUCCUGGCUCAGGAUGAACGCUAGCGGCAGGCUUAACACAUGCAAGUCGAGGGGCAGCGGGUGUAGCAAUACAUGCCGGCGACCGGCGAAAGGGUGAGUAACGCGUGAGCAACAUGCCCGAUACUGGGGGAUAGUCGAUGGAAACGUCGCGUAAUACCCCGUAACACACGGGACCGCAUGGUUCUUUGUUGAAAGAUUGAUUGGUAUCGGAUUGGCUCGCGUGCCAUUAGCUAGAUGGCGGGGUAACGGCCCACCAUGGCGACGAUGGCUAGGGGUUCUGAGAGGAAGGUCCCCCACAUUGGAACUGAGACACGGUCCAGACUCCUACGGGAGGCAGCAGUGAGGAAUAUUGGACAAUGGCCGGAAGGCUGAUCCAGCCAUGCCGCGUGCGGGAAGACGGCCCUAUGGGUUGUAAACCGCUUUUGCGGGGGAGCAAUAAGUUGUACGUGUACAACGAUGAGAGUACCCUGCGAAUAAGCAUCGGCUAACUCCGUGCCAGCAGCCGCGGUAAUACGGAGGAUGCAAGCGUUAUCCGGAUUUAUUGGGUUUAAAGGGUGCGCAGGCGGCUUGUUAAGCGGGAGGUGAAAUGCCGGCGCUCAACGUCGGAAGUGCCUCCCGAACUGGUGAGCUUGAAUGACUCUGCCGUGGGAGGAAUGUGUAGUGUAGCGGUGAAAUGCUUAGAGAUUACACAGAACACCGAUUGCGAAGGCAUCUCACGAAGGGUUGAUUGACGCUGAGGCACGAAAGCGUGGGGAUCAAACAGGAUUAGAUACCCUGGUAGUCCACGCAGUAAACGAUGAUGGCUAACCGCUGGGCUGUUCAGUUCAGUGGCCAAGCGAAAGCGAUAAGCCAUCCACCUG
rnacentral:rRNA from 1 species